GGCAAAAGACAUUUCUCUGAAGAAGAUAUACAGGUGGCCAAUAAGCACAUGAAAAGAUGCUCUACAUCACUAAGCACGAGGGAAAUGCAAAUCAAAAUCACAGUGACAUAUCACUUCACACCCAGGAGGAUGGCUAUUUUAAAAACAAAACUAAAAACAAGAACAAGAACGGCAAUAACAAAAGAGAAAGGAGAAUAGUUGUUACCAGGGACUGAAAGGAGAAAGUAAUGGGGUAGAGUUUCAGUUCGGGAAAAUGAAAAAGUUCUAGGGAUGGGUCACAAUGAUGGUUGCACAACAGCGUGAAUUAUACUUAAUUCUGCCAGAACUGUAAGAGUUAAAAUGGUAACUUUUAUGUAUGUUAUGCGUAUUUUACCACAGUAAAGAAAAGUUAAAAGGGGAAGGGCAAAGGAUUCGAAUACACAUUUUCCCAAAGAAGAUAUACACAUGGCCCAUAGAUACGUGAAAAGACGCUCAACAUCACUGGUCUGUAGGGAAAUGCAAAUCAAAACCACAGUGAGAUACUAGUUUUACACCCACCAGGGCUGACUACAUUCAAAAAAGCAGACAGUGACAAAUGUUGACAAAAAUGUGGAGAAAUUGGCACCCUCGAAUGUUGCUGGUCGGAUUAUAAAAUGCUGCAACCGCUUUGGAAAACAGUUUGGCAGCCUCUCAAAAAAUGUUAAACAGAGUCAGCAUGUGACUGAGUGAUUCCAGUCCUAGGUACACACCCAAGAAAAUUAGAAACACAAGUAAACACAAAAAUGUACACAAAUGUUCCCAGGAGCAUUUUGCAUGAUAGCCAAAGAGUAGAAACAACUCAAAUAUCCAUCCGCUGAUGAAUGGAUAAGCAAAAUGUGAUAGAUCCAUUCAAUGUAAUGGUAUUCUGCCAUGAGAAGGAAUAAAACACUGAUACAUGCUACAACACGGAUGAACCUUGAAAAUAUGCUAAGAGGCGAGAAACAAAAGAUUGUAUAUUGUUGGAUCCCAUUUAUACCAAAUGUCCAGAAUAGGCAAAUCCAUAGAGACAAAAAGUAGAUUAGUGGUUGUCAGGGAAUAGAGAGAGGCUGUUGAUGGAGACAGAGUUUCUUUUCAGGAUGAUUAAAAUGCUCUCUAACUGGAUGGCGGUGAUGGUUGCACAAAGUUUUGAGUAUACUGAAACCCACUGAAUUGUACACUUUAGAUGGGUGAAUUUUAUGGUAUGUGACUUAUAUCUCAAUAAAGUUGCUAUAAAAAACAAACAACAUCGACCAAAAAGAUCAACAUGGCUGCUUGAUGGAGAAAACAGGAAGGGUCCUUCAAGAAGUGAUAUGGAACCAGGUGACCAGUUAAAAAGCUACUAGAGACGUCAAGGCAAGAGGUGACAGUGAAUCACCUGGGUGGGGAGUAAAGGAAAGGAGGAAGCACGGGUUUUGGUUUGGGUGAAUGGGUCGUAGGGUGGGGCCGUUUACCACCCAUCCGAGAGAGAGAUUUGGGUUUGCGUCUGAAAAGGAAAACCUGCACUAAGUCAUAAUCCCAGUCCUAUGAAGUAGGUACAGUUAUCCCCAUUUAUAAUUGAAUAAAUGAGGCUCAAUGAAGUUCAAAUAAAUACCUUAAUAAUCAUUAGCGCUGUGACUCACAUCAGCCUGACUCUGACCCCCAUGCUCUUUUUUUGUUUGUUUUUUGUUUUUCCAUGGCAGUAUUUAUUUAUUUAUUUAUUUAUUAUUGUCAAGCUAGCUAACAUACAGUGUAGUCUUGGCUUCAGGAGUAGAUCCCCAUGAUUCAUCACUUACAUACAACACCCAGUGCUCAUCCCAACAUGUGCCCUCCUCAAUGCCCAUCACCCAUUUUUCCCACCCCCCCAACCCCCACCCCCAUCAACCCUCUGUUUGUUCUGAGAUUCAGUUUGAGUCUCUUAUGGUUUGCCUCCCUCUCUGUUUGUGUCUCAUUUUUCCUUCCCUUCCCCUAUGCUCAUAUGUUAGGUUUCUCUAGUUCACUUAGCAUAAUACCCUCCAGUUCCAUCCACGUUGUUGCAAAUGGCAAGAUUUCACUCUUUUUCAUCACUGAGUAGUAUUCCAUUGUGUGUAUAUAUACCACAUCUUUAUCCAUUCAUCAGUUGUUGGACAUUUGGGCUCUUUCCAUAAUUUGGCCAUUAUUGAUAGCACUGCUAUAAACAUUGGGGUGCAUGUACCCCUUUGAAUCAGCUCUCCUGUAUCCUUGGGAUAAAUUCCUAGUAGUACAAUUGCUGGGUUGUAGGGUAAUUCCAUUUUUAAUUUUUUGAAGAACCUCCACGCUGUUUUCCAGAGUGGCUGCAGCAGUCUUGCACCAACAGUGCAAGAGGGUUCCCCUUUCUCUCCAUCCUCACCAACAUCUGUUGUUUCCUGAGUUGUUAAUUUUAGCCACUCUGACUGAUGUGAGGUCAUAUCUCAAUGUGGUUUUGAUUUGUAUUUCCCUGAUGAUGAGUGAUGUUGAGCAUCUUUUCAUGUGUUGGUUGGCCAUCUGGAUGUCUUCUUUGGAAAAAUGUCUUUUCGUGUCUUCUGCCCAUUUCUUCACUGGAUUAUUUGUUUUUCAGACACCCAUGAUCUUUAUUGCACAUUAUAUGAGGAGAGAUUUUUAAAAGAUAAAAAAGGGAGAGAAAGAAAUUGGGGGGGGGCACUGCUAGAAGGAGGUGAAGACAGAUGGGUCAGGCACCCCGUAUGGAGCAUUUUGCCACCUGGUUUUGACAAAAAUAUUUCUAUUUAUACUAAUAUUUAUAGAAAAUAUUAGUAUAUGCUGUCACUUAAAACCAGAGAACCUCAAAAUGUCACCCUCAGCUCCCAGUCAGUAGUCGGAGGUUGUUAAUUUCUUCUCAAAUUUGCUGACAGCCGUCUCCACGGACAGUGCUGCGGCUUCCUUGGGCCAGUGCCCCCUCACCUCUUGCAGGAGGUAUUGCAACACCCUCCCAACCUUUGUCCUGUGGUCCUCCUGCCCCAGAAAUGGGUGCUGGAGUGUGUGCAGACACACGCACACACCCCUCCCUCCUCAUCCCUUCUCCAUUGCUGGGGUGCUCUUUCUAAAAUGCAAACCUGUCCAUUUCAUCACAUGCCUUAAAACCCUUCAGGGAAUCCUGGUGGUGCUCAGGAUCAAGUUCAAGCACCUCAACCCGACUUACAAGGCCCUUCACUAUCUUGACUCCAUGUACCUCUUCAGCCUUUCCUCACUCUCCCCCUUUACCCACGCCUGGCAUCACACACCCCUACCCCAUGGGCCAGCCACACUGAACUAUUUUCAGUCCCCUAAUGUACCAUGCUCUUGCUGACCUCAAGCCUUAGCACGUGUCGUUCUGGCUGGAACAGCCAUCUGUGACAGUUGCAUAGCUAACUCCUACACAUCCUUUGGUCUUCCGUUGCCCUCCACGUCAGGGCUAGGUGCCCUUUGGACAUUUCUCGUGGCCCUCUGCACAGCCCCCGUGGGCACAGUGGAAUUAAGGGGUGGCCAGCUGAGCCACCAGAUGGAGAAGCAGUCUCCAAGAGAGAAUAAAGAUCAUAGGAAAUGUAACGAAACCAGAAAAAUCCUCUCUCCCAGAACCCUCUCAGAAGGACUUGUCAGAAUAUUCUUUCCAACCACACAGUGCUAUUAGGCCCACCCUGUACAAAUGAAAUGAAAGGCAGAUCGAUAAAUAGAUAGAUAGCCGGAUAGAAGGAUAGAUAGACAAACAUUUCACAUUUAUUCAUCUUUGGUCAACAUCUUGUUGUUUCGGUCUAGCGGAGCCCUCAGAUACAGGACCCGGGUUGGACUUCCAGUUCUAUUGCCAGCUGAAGGACCUACCCCAGAGCUGUGUUGGGAGGACGAUCAGAAGAAAUCAAAAGAGGGAAAUUAUCUGGCAUAUUACCCCUCCCAGUUGGUGCUCAGUAAACACUAGUGAUAUUUAUUGGCUCACUGGUUCAUCAAUAUUCUUUAAAACCUGAGUCCUAUUCCCAGAGUAUGAGGCUGUGCCUCAGCGUCAUGCCAGCCGCGCGCGUGACAGUGUAUCUUCUGGUUUUCGAUAAUCACUCCCUCCCAGCUUCCUUCCUCAUCCACACCUGCACCCCCCUCAAUUUUAAGCUUUGCUUGGCCCAGGCGUCAGGCUCUCAGGAUGACAAACCCACAUCGCCACCUGGAGGACAGCAUGAGAAUCUGGGGAAGAAUACCAUUUCAUGGCGCCAGAUAAACUAACUCCGCUGUUCCGUGCUGGUGCUAACGAGGCCAAGUUCACAGGUUCAUCCCCAAAGGGACCAAUUAGCUUUACACGGAGAGACACUUCAGAGCACAGCCCCAGUCUCUAACCCUGGCCCCUGGUUCACACGCGUGUUGGUUAGAAAGUGGAUUCAUCAGGCCAAUCCCAUUUUCCAUAAUUUCUUUAAAAAAAAAAAAAAUCCGUCUGUAAGGCCGUGUGGAGACAAGACAAACAAGAUCUGCUCUCUACUUUUAAGGAAUCUUCACCUGCAGGAGUGUUUCCCCAAAUGAUUCCCGAGAUAUCAGCGGGAGUUAUGAGAAUAGAGGCUCCACUGUGCUAAAUCAGUUUUGGAAACACUGAUCUAACCCAAGUCAGGCAGGUUCUCUCAUGGAAGGGUUUCCUAGAGCCUUUAACAUGCUAAUAGGCACUGUUAAUUUUCCAAUAAGGAAAUGUGUGUGCAGUGUUUCCCAGAUUUGGAUGGCCAUAAGACUUACCCCCAGCACCCCCAGUCUGUAAAAAAGAAAAGAAAAGAAAAGAAAAAGAAUAGUAAUGAGUCUGCUGGCCCUGGGUAUAGCUGCUUCCACUGGAACAUCUAUUUUAAGAAGCAACUCAUCCACGGGGAAAAGUUCACAGUCUAUUGCUAGGUUUAAAAAAAAAAGCAGUCUAAAGAACAGUAUCCCAUUUUGAAAAGACAGAACAAAGAUGUCCAUACACUUGAGAGGAAAAAAACUGAAAAGACAUAAACCAAAAUGUUAACCCUGGUGAUCUUUAUGCUGGAGUGCCCAUUGUUCUUCUGUGUUCUUUACAUGUUUUUCAAGGUUUUUUUUUUGUAUUGAAUAUGCAUGUGUAUUUUAUUUUUUUAAGUUUAUUUAUUUUUGAGAGAGAGUGAGCACGUGAGGGAAGGGCAGAGAGAGGGAGAGGAAGAGAGAGAAUCCCAAGCAGGCUCUGUUGCUGACAGUGGGGCUUGAAUCCACAAACCAUGAGAUCAUGACCUGAGCAGAAAUCAAAAGUCGGACACUUAACUGACUGAGCCACCCAGGUACCCCACUUAUAAAUUUUAAAAGAAAAACAACAAAGCACAUGCUCUAGGAUAGUAUACCAUCUUUGUAAGACUAUUAUUAUAGAAUCCUAGCAAGAGCUAACAUUUUCUGAAGGCUAAGUGCCUGGCAUAUGAAUUAUCUAGAUUAUCUUGUUUAAACUUCACAUGAAUCGUAUGAGAUGAGGUGCUAUUUUUUGUCCCAAUUUAAAAAUGGAAAAUUAAAGAAAGAAACAAACCCUGUGGAACCAGAAUUUGAACCCAUUACUUUCCUCUUUGCUGUCUAUCCUGCUCCCCCAAGACACACACACACACACACACACACACACCAUGAAAAAGAGAGACGAUGCUUUUCCUCCGGGGAGAGGGACUCUUUGAAGGCAAUGAUGCUGUGUGCUGUCCCUGUGCCACACGGCUACUAGCUGCCAUUUAUUAAAUGCUCACUGGUGCCAAGAAUUAUUCUGAGUUCUUUGAUAUAUAUAAACAUGUAAACUGAAUAGCAGCUGGGCUCUCCAGACUUUUAAGAUCUGCCUUCUGCAGGAUUGCUUGGGCCACCUCUCUCUUCUUUCUCUUUCACUGGCCACUAGAAGCCCUGACAACUACUGGGUGAGGCCAUUCAGCCCUCUCCAGCCACCAGAGCCAUAUUCAGCUCCAAUUCUACCGCAGUUAACAUGCUCCUUUAAACAGGCUUUCUACCCAGCUGCAUGCUAGUACUCUUUAUCUCUCUCUGUCUCUGUCUCUCUUCUCUCUCUCUUUUCCCUCUCUGGGAAGGGGCCCAAAGGAAAAUUCUAUUUCCUCACUGGUAUGAAGUAUGUCUACCUUCCUUAAAAGGCAGAAGUGUCUAUCAUCAAUUGGGGGUUAAAAUACUCUCUUUUUUUUGUCCAUCACGGGUGCAUUUGCAAAGUCGUUUCUUUCAUUAAUUCCAUUUUACAGAAGAGGAAAUUGAGGGCAGGUAAUUUGCCCAAGGUACCAGUGCAAGUACACGCUGGACCACUAUUUGAACCAGGGCCGUCCAGCUCCCCGUGUCACCAAGAUUCAGAGGAAAACUGGCCCACUUUGAGCUGCCACACACAGAAACUUCCCUGAAGAUAUGGCUCUUGCUCUAUGGAAAAUAUGUCAGGCUGACUCAGUUUCUCUAGCGCAAGUGAAAACGAGCUGGUUAGAACAGACUGGUUUGAAGCAAGUGCACAAUUCUUUGCCUUCAGGUGAGCUAGCAGCUGAAUUUCCCUGCCAGCUGGGCCUUAAAGGGCAAACAAGGCUCAUGGCAGAAGGCAUCACGAAGCGAUCUUGGACAACGUGGGUUCUUCAUUACAUCUGCAAAAUGCCACUAGCACCUUUGACCAAACAUUAAUACCGCACGGCUUUGACAUCUUGUGAUAUAGCUGGAGUUUGAGGAAUGGGGCUAAGGGUUGAUUGGGGUCCCCCAAAAUAAAUCUUUUCUACUGCCAUGAA